UUACUACUCCCUCCGUUCAGAAUUACUUGUCUUGAAAAUGGAUGUAUCUAGAAUUAAAAUACAUCUAGAUACAUCCAUUUCUACGACAAGUAAUUCCGAACGGAGGGAGUAUUUU
rnacentral:pre_miRNA from 1 species